UCCAACGUUAAUCGGGGCUGGGUGAGUCGACCCCUAAGGCGAGGCCGAAAGGCGUAGUCGAUGGGAAAAUGGUUAAUAUUCCAUUACUUCUGUGUAAUGCGAUGAGAGGACGGAGAAGGCUAAAUCAGCCUGGCGUUGGUUGUCCAGGUGAAAGGAUGUAGGCAUGUAUCUUAGGCAAAUCCGGGGUACUCUAUGCUGAGAUCUGAUAGCAAGCUGUACUUGUACAGCGAAGUGGUUGAUGCCAUGCUUCCAGGAAAAGUCUCUAAGCUUCAGUUACACAGGAAUCGUACCCGAAACCGACACAGGUGGUCAGGUCGAGUAGACCAAGGCGCUUGAGAGAACUCUGCUGAAGGAACUAGGCAAAAUGGUACCGUAACUUCGGGAGAAGGUACGCUGUUGUUGGUGAUGGAACUCGCUUCCUGAGCUGACGACAGCCGCAGAAACCAGGCCGCUGCAACUGUUUAUUAAAAACAUAGCACUCUGCAAACACGAAAGUGGACGUAUAGGGUGUGAUGCCUGCCCGGUGCUGGAAGGUUAAUUGAUGGGGUUAGCGUAAGCGAAGCUCUUGAUCGAAGCCCCAGUAAACGGCGGCCGUAACUAUAACGGUCCUAAGGUAGCGAAAUUCCUUGUCGGGUAAGUUCCGACCUGCACGAAUGGCAUAAUGAUGGCGGCGCUGUCUCCAGCAGAGGCUCAGUGAAAUCGAAAUCGCUGUGAAGAUGCAGUGUACCCGCGGCUAGACGGAAAGACCCCGUGAACCUUUACUGCAGCUUGACACUGAACUUUGACCUUACUUGUGUAGGAUAGGUGGGAGGCUUUGAAGCUGGAACGCUAGUUCCAGUGGAGCCGUCCUUGAAAUACCACCCUGGUAAUGUUGAGGUUCUAACUCUGUCCCGUGAUCCGGGACGAGGACCGUGUCUGGUGGGUAGUUUGACUGGGGCGGUCUCCUCCUAAAGAGUAACGGAGGAGUACGAAGGUGCGCUCAGCGUGGUCGGAAAUCACGCGUAGAGUAUAAAGGCAAAAGCGCGCUUAACUGCGAGACCCACAAGUCGAGCAGGUACGAAAGUAGGUCUUAGUGAUCCGGUGGUUCUGUAUGGAAGGGCCAUCGCUCAACGGAUAAAAGGUACUCUGGGGAUAACAGGCUGAUACCGCCCAAGAGUUCAUAUCGACGGCGGUGUUUGGCACCUCGAUGUCGGCUCAUCUCAUCCUGGGGCUGAAGCAGGUCCCAAGGGUAUGGCUGUUCGCCAUUUAAAGAGGUACGCGAGCUGGGUUUAGAACGUCGUGAGACAGUUCGGUCCCUAUCUACCGUGGGCGCUGGAAAUUUGAGAGGAUCUGCUCCUAGUACGAGAGGACCAGAGUGGACGAACCUCUGGUGUACCGGUUGUGACGCCAGUCGCAUCGCCGGGUAGCUAUGUUCGGAAGGGAUAACCGCUGAAAGCAUCUAAGCGGGAAGCCUACCUCAAGAUAAGAUUUCCCUAGGACUUUAUGUCCUCUAAAGAGCCGUUCGAGACUAGGACGUUGAUAGGUUGGAUGUGGAAGCAUAGUGAUAUGUGAAGCUGACCAAUACUAAUUGCUCGUGAGGCUUGACUAU
rnacentral:rRNA from 1 species